rnacentral:rRNA from 1 species
CAGCCGCCGCGGUAAAACCAGCACCUCAAGUGGUCAGGAUGAUUAUUGGGCCUAAAGCAUCCGUAGCCGGCUUUGUAAGUUUUCGGUUAAAUCCAUGCGCUUAACGUAUGGGCUGCCGGGAAUACUGCUAAGCUAGGGAGUGGGAGAGGUAGACGGUACUCGGUAGGAAGGGGUAAAAUCCUUUGAUCUAUUGAUGACCACCUGUGGCGAAGGCGGUCUACCAGAACACGUCCGACGGUGAGGGAUGAAAGCUGGGGGAGCAAACCGGAUUAGAUACCCGGGUAGUCCCAGCUGUAAACUAUGCAAACUCAGUGAUGCAUUGGCUUGAUGCCAAUGCAGUGCUGCAGGGAAGCCGUUAAGUUUGCCGCCUGGGAAGUACGUACGCAAGUGUGAAACUUAAAGGAAUUGGCGGGGGAGCACCACAAGGGGUGAAGCCUGCGGUUCAAUUGGAUUCAACGCCG